UAAAGAGAUUUAGCCGAAGUUAACACAAAAACUAGUUAGCCCCUAAUAUUAAAUUAGCUAGUGAAGCUGUCAAGGGCAUGUAAUGGCCGAGCAUAGUAACAGCUUAGAGAGACAUAGCUGAAAGGCAAAUGUGCGCUAUUCAGGAAGCCUUAUUCUCUCUAUCAAAGUCAGUGAACUUUGACUUAAAUACUCUCUUCUACUCAUUUGCUUUUAACGCAAUUCUAAAAACUCAUUCUAGUAAGGAAUUGUAAGCUGAAGCUAGAAGAGACAGGAAAGGGGUAUAAACUUAAAAAUAACUCUUAUAAAAUUAGGAUAUACCUUACAUAUAUUUAAAACAAAGCUCACUAAGGUUUCCCACAAGAGUUUAUAUGCAUAUGUACAAAGAUUUUUUUGCUAUAUGCUUUUCUUAAUUCAGUAUAAUAGUAUACGCAUUUUUUAGUAAAACAGUUAAUGCUUUUCACAUUCAUCUAAAAAAACUGAAUAACCUAUAUUUUGGCAUCCUCUAGAAAAAUAUGUAGACCAAAUGAUAUGUUAUGUAUCUAUCAUAGAUGACUAUUUCUUAGAAGUAAUGGAGAAAAUUACAGAAACUCUAAAAGGGGGAAAAUAUUUCAGUUGAUGGAAAGAAUGAUGCUAAUGGUCCUAAUGUAUGCAAUGUCAUAAUAGGAACUCUGGAUCAAGAUUUAGCUGAGUGACUGAUAUUUGGAAUUAGUGGAAAGUAUUAGCUUUUGUAGCCAGCAUUGGGAUUUCUACCUGCUUUCGAUACCAUUUGAGGUUACCCAAGGCUGAAAAUGCUGUUUGGAAUUUGUAUUUAUCUUGGAUCAGAAGCCUCAAGUAAGGUGUAAUACCAUCCAGAAACCCAGAAGUGGAUGGAGACACAGGAGGACUCUCGGCAGAAGGGAAUUUUACGAUAAUUCUAAAGCAAUAAAACUUUUAAAAGACUAUUAAUAAUGUAAUUUUGGCAUUUCAAAAGUUAUAAACUACUUGUGUGAAAAUUGUAUCAAUGUACCACUUAUAACAAAAUUAUAAAUUAAAGAAUAUGAUACAAAUCACAGAGAACUAUAACUAUGGCAUUUGGGGGGUGAACAUUUUCUUAUUUCAUUUAGAAUUUAGGAAUAUAAAAUUUUCUUAAAUUCCAUAGGAAUUGAAGAAAUACAAAAAAUUAGAUUUCCUAAUUUUUAUGAAAUUGAUUUUUGCAUCAUUUAAAACAACUUUGUGAGUGGAAGCAUAUGUUCACAACCAAUGCAAAAACUGAAGAAUACUGUUAAUGAUGUUACCAUAUGCAUAUGAUGAGCAUUUAAAAUUAAACAGAAUUAAAAUUUAAAAAAAAAAUAACCUUAUUUGCUAAGAGUGAACCAUGUAUAUUUACUGCAUCUAGCUUCACAAAUUUAUUAAGAAAGUUUAUUUUCACAAAUUAUAAGAAUUACACUAAAAAGUCAAUUUUUUUAAAGUAAAAGUCUGAUAUUUACUGCAGUAGGUUCUUAAAUAGAAAGCAAGGGGACAUGCAGCAAUUUUGAAAUGGGAACCUCAAAAUAUUCACACUUAGUUUUUGAAAAUCUCUUAAUAAUCCUGUCACUUAUCAGAUUAACCAUCAGCA